rnacentral:tRNA from 1 species
GCCGAUGUAGCUCAGUUGGUAGAGCAGCUGAUUUGUAAUCAGCAGGUCGUGGGUUCGAGCCCCUCCAUCGGCU